rnacentral:rRNA from 1 species
CAGUCGCCGCGGGAAUACGAAGGGUGCAAGCGUUACUCGGAAUUACUGGGCGUAAAGCGUGCGCAGGCGGUGUUGUAAGACUGAUGUGAAAUCCCCGGGCUCAACCUGGGAGCUGCAUUGGUGACUGCAACGCUGGAGUGCGGCAGAGGGGGAUGGAAUUCCGCGUGUAGCAGUGAAAUGCGUAGAUAUGCGGAGGAACACCGAUGGCGAAGGCAAUCCCCUGGGCCUGCACUGACGCUCAUGCACGAAAGCGUGGGGAGCAAACAGGAUUAGAUACCCCUGUAGUCCCUGUCUCUUAUAC